UACGUAGGGUGCAAGCGUUGUCCGGAAUUAUUGGGCGUAAAGAGCUCGUAGGCGGGAUGGCAAGUCGGUCGUGAAAUCCCUCGGCUCAACCGAGGAACGUCGAUCGAUACUGCUGUUCUUGAGGAUUGCAGAGGAGACUGGAAUUCCCGGUGUAGCGGUGAAAUGUGUAGAGAUCGGGAGGAACACCGGUGGCGAAGGCGGGUCUCUGGGCAAUUCCUGACGCUGAGGCGCGAAAGCGUGGGGAGCAAACGGG
rnacentral:rRNA from 1 species